rnacentral:rRNA from 1 species
CAGGAUUAGAUACCCCGGUAGUCCACGCCCUAAACGAUGAACACUAGUCGUCGGUAUGCUAGUCAUGUCGGUGAUGCACUUAACAGAUUAAGUGUUCCGCCUGGGGAGUACGGUCGCAAGAUUAAAACUCAAAGGAAUAGACGGGGACCCGCACAAGUGGUGGAGCAUGUGGUUUAAUUCGAAGAUACGCGAAGAACCUUACCUAGCCUUGACAUUGAAGGAACACYUUAGAGAUAGAGUGGUGCCCUUCGGGGAAUYUGAAAACAGGUGCUGCACGGCUGUCGUCAGCUCGUGUCGUGAGAUGUUGGGUUAAGUCCCGCAACGAGCGCAACCCUCGUCCUUAGUUGCCAGCAGGUUAAGCUGGGCACUCUAAGGAGACUGCCUUCGCAAGGAGGAGGAAGGUGAGGACGACGUCAAGUCAUCAUGGCCCUUAUGGCUAGGGCUACACACGUGCUACAAUGGGGCGUACAGAGUGUUGCGAUACCGCGAGGUGGAGCUAAUCACUUAAAGCGUCUCUCAGUUCGGAUUGGAGUCUGCAACUCGACUCCAUGAAGCUGGAAUCACUAGUAAUCGUAGAUCAGCAAUGCUACGGUGAAUACGUUCCCGGGUCUUGUACACACCG